UUGUUUCCAAGGACAGCAGCCUAUUAUGAUGUCACGGGUGGGACAGUAAUCACCACCCCCACCCUAGAGUCUAACGCAGACAAUGAAAGAGGCUGCGGUAGGCCCGGCAGAGGAGGGGAACCCAGGGACGGAGGAGAGGGCAUCUCACCCAGACUGGGUACCAAGCUGGGGCCUCCCUUCUCCGUGGGCCCUGCCCUGCUGACCACAUGGUCACUCGGGAAGGGAAAUGGCCUUGAGUGGCCGUGACGGUGUCUGGGCUUGACCUCGGCUCUGGCUUAAGAGUGUAAUCGCCUCUGUCCACCCACCCCCUGGGAUUCGGGACACAGCACCAGGCCUCAGGUGUGGAAGCCCCGACAGACCAGGCCAGUCCCCUAGGCUCGGCGUCCACCUCCUGCGGCCUGAGGUGCAGUCAGGACAGCAGGUCAUUGGUGAAGACUUUGAAUGAAACCUGUCCUAGAGACUCAUCACAGCACAGCGUCGGGGGCGUCUCCUUCCUUCCACAGACGCCAGAGAGAUUUGAUGAAAUAAAACAUGUUCUUAUGAUAUUUAAAAAGCCUCGCAGCAAACUUGAAAGAGAAAGGAACCUUCUCCACCUGACCAAGGACAGCAGACACCCCGCACACUUCAUGGAGCCGUCAGGGGCGGCGUGGGGUCGAGGCAGGAGCCUUUGGCCAUAGUUUUCUGUCUUACAGGAUGCCAUGUGGUUGGAAUCACAGUCUAUAGCCUUCUUAGUAAAAUGAGGCUGUGUGACCAGUUGGUCAGCAUGAAUCUGGCCAGCCACACCCAAGGUCUGCUCACUCACCUGAGGACCACAACCCCUGGGAUGGAAGUCCGAAGGCAAGUUCCCUCUUGGUGGCCUCCCCCACCCCACCCUGUUUUGUUUGCAUGUUUAGGCAGAAACUUUUUGCCUUUUUCUCUCUGCUCUCUGAGGUCCUCCGGCCCCAAGGCCACUGACUGAGGGUCCCUGAGUGGGUGGAGUCUACCUCACCUGUCCGGGAUUAGGGAGAAGUGUCUGCUGAUGCUCCCUCCUGGGGUGGCACAAAGGAUCCACAAAGUAUCUUCUUUCCAGAAUGGUCAUCUAAUCCCACCCAAAAGUUGAUCACAGGCCCAGAGACCCAUCCCUCCUGGGUGAGAUUGGAGGGAGUGGGCAUUCCAGCUCCUGGGUCCCUGGGAAGUCAGUCCUGUCCCAGUAGUGUUGGUGCCCCCCCCCUCUUUUUUAUGCACAUUUAAAAGGCAAACAUCAACUCCUCCCCCAGACUCCCACGAUGGGCUCCUUCUUCUGUUACAUUUUCAAUUACACUCUCACAGCAUUCUCAUUAGAGACGCGAGCUUGUCUUCAUUAAAGACAAAACUAACUUUCCACCACGGAGAGGCCUGGGUGAAGAGGGUAAUGAUUGAAUUUCUUCAUUUCAGAGAAUUGCAUCUCUUAUCCUGGGGCGAUGUCUGUAAAUGCAGACAGAGUACUGAGAGAGACUCCAUUUCCGUGACUUUGUGGAGUGACGGAGCUGCCUCCUGGGGUCUGGCAUCCUGUCUGUGGACGUGGAGGCUUGAGGGAACCACUGACCUGUUAACCCCAUGGCCUCGCACAGCCCCCUACCCUCCCUCAGCUCCCCCAGCUUUUGAACAAAAAGUCCAGGCUCCACCCAGUAAGGACAGGGUGCCCGUGGGGCUCAGCUCACCUGCUCUUCCUGCAGGAACCACCCGGCUGCUGCCGUCCAGGUCUCGGGGCCCUUUGUAAAGCGCAGCUCAGAGAUGCCCUGUCCUCCAUCACCUAAGCCUGGUGGUCCAGGGGCUCGCCCCGAGUUGCCUCCCCAUGAGGCCCCUGAAGCUCUGCUGAGGCCCCUCAGCCUCCAGCCAGCAGCUCUCUUUUCUCUCGGUUUGCGUUGUGUAAUUUCAGCAGCAAUGAAACAAAUGCAGUCAGGCAUCUCCGGACUGUCUGAGCACCCACCCCAGCCCCACCCCUCGGUGCUGUGUGGGCCUCCCCUUCCAGGAGGGCCUCCUGGAUCUCCCAACCCAGACCCAAGCAGGGUCUUGCCUCCCCUCCCCACCCCAGCCCAGUCUCUGCCUUUGGUUGUGUGACCCAGACUCCUAGCAAGCAGCCUGGACCCCACAGCACUCUGCAGGCAGGGAUGGGGCUGGUCUGGCUCUGAGCUGAAAGAUGAGGACGUGAGAAUAUGGAGAUGAGUGUUGUGAAAAAACGGGGAUUCACAAGUAUGGAGCUGAGGACUUGUGAAUCUGCAGAUGGGCAUCCGUGGACAUGGAAAUAGGGUCGUGAAUAUGGAAAUGAGACUCUUGAAAAUGGAAAUGUGGUAAUGAAUAUGGUAAUCUAUAUGAUUAUGGAGGUGAGACAUGAGUAUAGAGAUGAGGGCUUGUGAGUAUGGAGAUGAGAUCGUGAAUACGGAGAUGAGGACACAUAACCGUGGAGAAGAAGGCUUGUGAAUUUGGAGAUGAGGACACAUGAAUAUGCAGGUGGUGCUAUGGUAAUAUGGACUUGAGGACUUGUGAAUACUAUGGAGAUGAGGCCUGUGUGUUGGCACCCACCACCCCAGGUCACUGGUGCAUGGGGUCAUCCACCCAGACCCCACUCUGGGGGAAGAAAUUUCACCUCUUGGGAAUGAGGCUGGCCCUGCUUGGCGUGGGGGGUGGUGGAAGUAGGGGGCAGUGCCACCUGCUGGCCACAGUCCUUCCAGGAAAUGACCCCCACAUCCCCCUCUUAGCAGUUGGCACACACUGUACCCCAAGAGCAAGAUGCCCUUCUCUCGAGGUUCUUCCUUCUGGGGCUCCCGGCCUUAGUGCAGGGGGUGGGGGAACUGGGGAUUCUGCCCUGUAUGUCUGGCAGAAGGACGGUGCCGUGUGGGACCAGGGCCCUGAUGGCCAUCCUUCCUCCCGGGACUGUCCUGUCCUCAAGGCCUGCGAGGGGACCGGUGGUGCCCCUGAGAGUGGAUGGUGCUGGAGCAUGUGGCCAGCAGUGGGCAUUGCUGGUCAGAGUCCUGAGCUGGGGAGAGGAGGUUUGCACACCCAGAGCAGGCAUGCUUCUUUACUUAGGUAAAUGGCCACGUAGAUGUGGGGGCCGGGAGCUGGGCACAUGGAGCUUCUGAUCUGGGCCAUCUGGUCCUUGGGGGCUCCUGCCACAUGUCAGGAGGGGAUAAUAAGCACACCCCCAGAGUGCUGGGAAUACCCUAAACCCAGGAGACACAGCAGGCAAGAACAGAACUGUAGGACGGGGACAGAGGGGUGCUGGAGAGGACCCCUGUGUUGGGGUGGGCCCGCCUGCAGCUGAGUUCCUGUCCUUCCUAUCCCUGAAGAUGAGGCCCAGCAGCCAGGAGUGGGUGGCUAGGGCUGCAGACAGGAUCCCCAACCCACCCAGGCAGGAGGCAUAUGGUUGGGGGGGCCUCAAGGAGUGUCUGAGGUCUGUCCAGCUGUCUGUCCACACACGGGAUGUCCUGGCUGUGUCCAUCCAACGCAUCUCAUCCCGAUCUUGUGCCAGGCUUGUGGGUUCCAGGAGUCAUUUCUGAGCCUGUGAGGCUCCACCUCCUUUAAAGCCGAGAGAUGCCAUGUCUGCUGUGAAUGAAGUUGCAGCUGAGUCUAGAGCCUCUGGUCAGAUGGGAAUUUCAGAGAACAGCAGGAUGGGGGUGUGAGGACGUCCCUGCAGUACUGGGGUUGAAUCGUGUUCCACUUCGCGGAAGGACCACAUUUCGCUUAUCCUUCAUCCAUUGGUGGACAUCUGUGUUCUGUCCGUCUCCGUUUUGGGCUCCUCUGGGACCGAGAACCAUCAGAGGACGGAGAAGCAUCAGAUGACAGAGAACCACCGGGCCUGGCAGCGAGGACAUGGGUGCUCUGGAAUAUCCCACACAGACUGCCUGCAGAGCUUUGCGUGUCCACACUGGAAGGACAUCCUGACAACCUCGAGCGGACUGUUGGGAUUGCCACCCACUUUCCCACAGGUUUUCCAAGGAAGCACCCAUUCCUGCGGGUGCGUCCAGCACCUCUGUUCACAAAUGGUCCUGAGAACCUGUUCGGCCGCGUGGCUCCGGAGUGUAACGUAUCAGGAGCCUUUCUCAGGAACUGUGUCCUCCUAAAUUCUCUCUCCUGUGCCAGGUUUAAAUUACCUUUAAUUCUUUUUCCGUAAAAGACAAAGCUAUUUUUA